rnacentral:rRNA from 1 species
UAAGCAUUAUACGGCGAAACUGCGAAUGGCUCAUUAAAUCAGUUAUCGUUUAUUUGAUAGCACCUUACUACAUGGAUAACCGUGGUAAUUCUAGAGCUAAUACAUGCUGAAAAUCCCGACUUCGGAAGGGAUGUAUUUAUUAGAUUAAAAACCAAUGCCCUCCGGGGCUCACUGGUGAUUCAUAAUAACUUCUCGAAUCGCAUGGCCUUGCGCCGGCGAUGGUUCAUUCAAAUUUCUGCCCUAUCAACUUUCGACUGCUGGGUCUUGGCCAGCAAUGGUGACAACGGGUAACGGAGGGUUAGGGCUCGACCCCGGAGAAGGAGCCUGAGAAACGGCUACUACAUCCAAGGAAGGCAGCAGGCGCGCAAAUUACCCAAUCCCGACACGGGGAGGUAGUGACAAUAAAUACUGAUACAGGGCUCUUUUGGGUCUUGUAAUUGGAAUGAGUACAAUUUAAAUCCCUUAACGAGGAACAAUUGGAGGGCAAGUCUGGUGCCAGCAGCCGCGGUAAUUCCAGCUCCAAUAGCGUAUAUUAAAGUUGUUGCAGUUAAAAAGCUCGUAGUUGAACCUUGGGCCUGGCCGGCCGGUCCGCCUCACCGCGUGCACUGGUUCGGCCGGGCCUUUUCCUCUGGCGAGCCCCAUGCCCUUCACUGGGCGUGUGGGGGAACCAGGACUUUUACUUUGAAAAAAUUAGAGUGUUCAAAGCAGGCCUAUGCUCGAAUACAUUAGCAUGGAAUAAUAGAAUAGGACGUGCGGUUCUAUUUUGUUGGUUUCUAGGACCGCCGUAAUGAUUAAUAGGGACAGUCGGGGGCAUCAGUAUUCAAUUGUCAGAGGUGAAAUUCUUGGAUUUAUUGAAGACUAACUACUGCGAAAGCAUUUGCCAAGGAUGUUUUCAUUAAUCAGGAAC